UGAUUAGUAAAGUGAGCGAGUCUCCUCCCCGCCAUAUUCCAGCAGCGGCUCCUUGUGCAGCGGGUUAAAUUCAGCGGCUGCUUUUAUCUCUGCUCUGAUCUCCGCUCUGAUCUCCGCUUUGAACCGGGUGUAAACGCAGCGCAGGAGGAGCUAAACUCUGGAGGUCCUGCAGUGUGUCCCUCUGCACCGCAGGUGAAGAUCAGACGCAGGAUUCUCUGAUGGACCGUGGCUCUGUGAUGAGGAGACCAGCAGCCGUGGGGUCUCUCUGAACCCUGUGACAAACUGUUUACAUUGUGUGUGUACAGUCUGUGUGUGUGUAGGGUGUGUGUGUGCGGUGUGAGAGCCGCGUUGGGGAAGCAUGUCAGUCUCCAGCACCCCCACCAGUAACGACGCAUGCCUGAGCAUCGUCCACAGCCUGAUGUGUCACCGGCAGGGUGGCGAGAGCGAGUCCUUCUCUAAGCGGGCGAUCGAGAGUCUGGUGAAGAAGCUGAAGGAGAAGAAGGACGAACUGGACUCGCUCAUCACCGCUGUGACCACCAACGGAGCACACCCCAGCAAAUGCGUGACCAUCCAGCGCACGCUCGAUGGACGUCUACAGGUGGCGGGUCGUAAAGGGUUCCCGCACGUGAUCUACGCCCGGCUGUGGCGCUGGCCUGACCUGCAUAAGAACGAGCUAAAGCACGUUAAAUACUGCCAGUUCGCUUUCGACCUGAAGUGUGACAGUGUGUGUGUGAACCCCUACCACUACGAGCGGGUGGCGUCUCCUGGGAUCGAUCUGUCGGGACUGACUCUGGGUGCAGGUCCCAGCGCGGGUCUCCUGGUGAAAGAGGAGUUUGAAGGUCAGCCGUCUCACUCCAGCUCUGACGCCGCCCACAGUAUUCAGACCAUUCAGCAUCAGCCUGCCCCCUCACACCCUGCCCUGCCCACCACCACACGCCCCGCCCUCCCAGACACUUUCAACAGCCCCGCCCUCCUGCCACCACCAGAUGCUGCGAGCUCCGCCUCCAGUGCCACUUUCCCCAGCCUGGCCGCUGGACCAGCCGCAGCAGCCGGUUCCUGGCCCAGAGCCAGUGGCUUCACCCACAACGUUCCCCACCAGAACGGCCACCUACAGCACCACCCACCCCAGUACUGGCCGGUGCAUAAUGAGCUGGUGUUCCAGCCCCCCAUAUCCACCCACCCAGCUCCAGAUUACUGGUGCUCUAUAGCAUAUUUUGAGAUGGACGUUCAGGUGGGGGAGACCUUUAAGGUUCCGUCCUCGUGUCCUGUGGUGACGGUGGAUGGUUAUGUGGAUCCAUCUGGAGGAGAUCGUUUCUGUCUGGGUCAGCUGAGCAACGUGCACCGGACUGAGGCCAUCGAGAGAGCCAGGCUGCACAUCGGUAAGGGAGUGCAGUUGGAGUGUAAGGGUGAGGGUGAUGUGUGGGUGCGGUGUCUCAGUGAUCACGCAGUGUUUGUUCAGAGUUAUUAUCUGGACCGGGAGGCGGGUCGAGCUCCAGGUGACGCCGUGCACAAAAUCUACCCCAGUGCUUACAUCAAGGUGUUUGACCUGAGGCAGUGCCACCGGCAGAUGCAGCAGCAGGCAGCUACAGCUCAAGCAGCGGCAGCAGCACAGGCUGCAGCAGUGGCCGGAAAUAUCCCCGGACCCGGAUCAGUGGGGGGCAUCGCACCAGCCAUCAGUUUGUCCGCUGCAGCAGGGAUAGGUGUGGAUGACCUGCGGCGGUUGUGUAUUCUGCGCAUGAGCUUUGUGAAGGGCUGGGGUCCCGACUAUCCUCGUCAGAGCAUCAAAGAAACUCCAUGCUGGAUUGAGAUUCAUCUGCACCGAGCUCUCCAACUGCUGGACGAAGUUCUACACACCAUGCCCAUAGCUGACCCUCAACCUCUGGACUGACCUGCCCAUAGCUGACCCUCAACCUCUGGACUGACCUACCCAUAGCUGACCCUCAACCUCUGGACUGACCUACCCAUAGCUGACCCUCAACCUCUGGACUGACCUACCCAUAGCUGACCCUCAACCUCUGGACUGACCUGCCCAUAGCGGACCCUCAACCUCUGGACUGACCUGCCCAUAGCGGACCCUCAACCUCUGGACUGACCUGCCCAUAGCUGACCCUCAACCUCUGGACUGACCUGCCCAUAGCUGACCCUCAACCUCUGGACUGACCUGCCCAUAGCUGACCCUCAACCUCUGGACUGACCUGCCCAUAGCUGACCCUCAACCUCUGGACUGACCUGCCCAUAGCUGACCCUCAACCUCUGGACUGACCUGCCCAUAGCUGACCUCCGCUCAGUGGGCGGAUCAGUGGGCGGGUCAGUCCUGUUUUAAAAGACAUGAAGAAUAAGAUGAGCGGAGUUCGUUGACUUGUAUGCUGGAACUCCACCACACACUCACACCCACCCAACUGAACAAACACACACUCAUCACUGUGAUUCAGGGUGGAACCUGCAGAACCUCGUCCACGCUGAACAAUCGGACAGAACUCGUUAACGCUAAUCUUGGGACUUUCAGGAUGUGGAACCCUUGUGAACGGGGGUCCAGGACUCUAAACACUAACGCCUCCGGAACACUAGCAAGACUGCAGGGGGCGCAGUGGAGCUGCAGAUGAAUAAAGAGUGAUGAAUAAAGAGCUUCUCUUUUUACUCCUCAGAUGAUUUGUUUUGUACAGUGGCCCCUGAAUUAGAUCCAGCAGAUGGAUGAUAAUCACAUGUUCUGGUCCUGCUUUGUUCACGGCCUGGCUUUUCUUCUCCGAUGGACCUGGUCCUGAAGAGACCCAACCCAAAUCAGAUCUUCAGCACUUUCACAGGUUAAUAAUACUGCAUUUAUAGGAGGUUUUACUGUAGCUCUGCGUGUUAGCGGUAACAGCACUGUAUUGUGAUGGAGGUAAAUAUGUUCAGGUGUAAAUAAACCUGUUGAAAAUG